rnacentral:rRNA from 1 species
GGCGUGCCUUACACAUGCAAGUCGAACGGCAGAGCGGGCUUCUGGCUGUCGGCGAGUGGCGAACGGAUGAGUAAUACAUCGGAGCGUGCCCUGUUGUGGGGGAUAACUAGUCAAAAGAUUAUCUAAUACCGCAUACGACCUGACGGUGAAACCGGUGGACCGUAAGGCCUCGCGCAAUAGGAGCGGCCGAUGUCUGAUUACCUAGUUGGUGGGGUAAAGGCCUACCAAGGCCACGAUCACUAGCUGGUCUGACAGGACCAUCAUCCACACUGGAACUGACACACUGCCCAUACUCCUACGGCAGGAAUCAUUGGGGAAUUUUGGACAAUGGGGCCUACCCUGAUCCAGAAAUGCCGCGUGAGUGAAGAAGGCCUUCGGAUUGUAAACCACUUUUGUCCGGAAAGAAAUCGCGCUGGCUAAUACCUGGCGUGGAUGACGGUACCGGAUUAAUAAGCACCGGCUAACUACGUGCCAGCAGCCGCGGUAAUACGUAGGGUGCGAGCGUUAAUCGGAAUUACUGGGCGUAAAGCGUGCGCAGGCGGUUUUGUAAGACAGGCUUGAAAUCCCCGAGGCUUAACCUGACAAUGCCGCUUGUGACUGCCAUGGUAGACUGCGUCACAGGAGGGUAGAAUUCCAUGUGUAACAUCGAAAUGCGUAGAGAUGUGGAGGAAUACCGAUGACGAACGCCGCCCCCUGAGACGAGACUGACGCUCAUGCACGACAGCGAGGCGAGCAAACAGGAUUAGAUACCCUGAUAAUCCACGCCAUAAAUGAUGUCAAGUAGUUGUUGGGGAUUCAUUUCCUCAGUAACGUAGCUAACCCGUGAAGUUGACGACUUGGGGAGUACGGUUGCAAGAUUAAAGAUCAAAGGAAUUGACGGGCAACCGCACAAGCGGUGGAUGAUGUGGAUUAAUUCGAUGCGACGCGAAACACCUUACGUCCUCUCGACAUGCCACUAGAGAUGCAGAGAUGCAUCAUGUGGCGGAAAGGGAAAGUGGACACAGGUGGUGCAUGUCAGUUGUCAUCUCGAGUCGUGAGAUGUUGGGUUAAGUCGCGCACCGAGCUCAACCCUUGUCUCUAGCUGUUACGCAAGGGCUCUAUAGAGAGACUGCCGGUGACAUACCGGAGGAAGGUGGGGAUGAUGUCAAGUCCUCAUGCCCUUUAUGGGUAGGGCUUCACACGUCAUACAAUGGUGUGUACAGAGGGUUGCCAACCCGCGAGGGGGGGCUAAUCCCAGAAAACGCAUCGUAGUCCGGAUCGUAGUGUGCAUCUCGAGUACGUGAAGCGGGAAUCUAUAGUAAUCGCGGAUCAGCAUGCCGCGGUGAAUACGUUCCCGGGUCUUGUACACCCCGCCUGUCACCCCAUGGGAGUGGGUCUUGCCAGAAGUAGUUAGCCUACCCGCAAGGAGGCAGAUUACCACGGCAGGGCUCAUGACUGGGGUGA